UACGUAGGGGGCGAGCGUUGUCCGGAAUGACUGGGCGUAAAGGGUGUGUAGGCGGUUUAUUAAGUUAGAAGUGAAAUACCUAGGGCUUAACCCAGGUGCUGCUUCUAAAACUGAUAGACUUGAGUGCAGAAGAGGAGAGUGGAACUCCAUGUGUAGCGGUGGAAUGCGUAGAUAUAUGGAAGAACACCAGUGGCGAAGGCGGCCGCCUGGCCUGUUACUGACGCUGAGGCACGAAAGCGUGGGGAGCAAAUAGG
rnacentral:rRNA from 1 species